GUAGGUGAACCUGCGGAAGGAUCAUUACAGAGUUCAUGCCCUCACGGGUAGACCUCCCACCCUUGAAUAUACUACCUUCGUUGCUUUGGCGAGCCGCUUCGGCUACCGACCUUGGUUGGUAUGUGCUCGCCGGAGAACACCAAACUCUGUAUUAAAUGUCGUCUGAGUACUAUAAAAUAGUUAAAACUUUCAACAACGGAUCUCUUGGUUCUC
rnacentral:misc_RNA from 1 species